UACCGGCAGCCCGAGUGAUGGCCGAUCUUAUUGGGCCUAAAGCGUCCGUAGCUGGCCAACCAAGUCUAUCGGGAAAUCCACCUGCCCAACAGGUGGGCGUCCGGCGAAAACUGUCUGGCUUGGAACCGGAAGGCUCAGAGGGUACGUCUGGGGUAGGAGUGAAAUCCUGUAAUCCCAGACGGACCACCGAUGGCGAAAGCACUCUGAGAAGACGGCUUCGACAGUGAGGGACGAAAGCUAGGGUCUCAAA
rnacentral:rRNA from 1 species